AAACGUUUGAAAAGCAAAGCCAGGUUGAUGAGACUUUCAAUCUCUUAAUAACCUGUCAUCUAACCUCUGAGGGUCCACUCUGGUAAAUGUCAAUGUCAGACAUGCUCCCUCUCCAGGUCAUGAUGGUCAAGUGCACUCUCAGAGCAGUGAGAGCACCAUAGAAACUUGAUACAUAGCUAGUUUGCAGCAAAAGAGAAAGGUAGAUAUUAGCGUUUCCAAAAGAGCUACUUAAAACAAUUAUAGUAGGUUGAAUAUGAGCCCUAUAAUAAUGUCACCCUUACUUCUGUUCUUACAUGUUCUGACAAGGAAAAGACCGUGCCUCACCUCUGGCUCUCAAAAUUGUGCAUCAUCCACAGUCUAUUUUAUUUAUACCUACGUGGUAACUGCUAACUCAAAUAGGCGUGAUGGUGACCGAUUAUCAUUGUGUUUCCCUUUGCCACCAGGUGCAGGACUCUGACAACAUCAGGAUAUGCCCAUGAAAGGUUGUCACUCACUGAACCCCUAAUGCCUGUUUAACUGUUGGGGAAGGAUGAGAAUCACUGCCCUGAGACACAGAAUUUAAUUAGGCCUGCUUCUUUAUGUUUCUCUUUAAUGAUAGGAUUUUAAGCUCAACGGUUAUCAGCUCAAAAGCAGAAAAUGUUCAUUCCCGUUUGUGCCCUGGUAUCUUGAAGAAUGUGCAGUAGGUGAGCUUGCCAUUAAUCUAACUGAAUUUCUCUCUGCUUGUAGACAUUAUGGUUUUGAAAGCAGCCUUCUAAGAGUGCACUAAAGUUACCCUCACUCAUCAUCUCUACUCUGCAAGUCUAAAAAGUGGCGUGUGUCAGGGUACACAGUAAGACAAUUCAUUUAUUUUUAAGUGUUUCCAUUCUCCACUCAUUUCCUCAUCUCUGCAGUGAGGCUGAGCUAGAAUUUAGCUGUGUGUUCCUAAAGAAAUGUGCUCACUGUUUUCACACAUUAACCUUGUUCCUAUGCUGGGUCUCAUUACAUGCUGAUAGAUUCUGCUUUUUUUCUAAGCAAGUAAUUCUCCUUUUCCCAUUAAAUGCAGAGGUAGAGGGAGGAGUUUCAUCCGGAAAUGUCCCUGACUGAGACUGUCUUCUAGGUUGGUCCUCUUUGGCUCAAACAGAGGGAACCACUGAAUUAGGCUCGACAGAGGUCUCAUAGUUCAACCUGGCUAUAGCCCUGAAAGUCAGUUGGACAGCAGUUGCCCAAGAUGCCGUGACAAAAUUUACCCAUCCUGUUCCCUGUUCCACAUGCGUGCUGCUGUGCUUACUGGAACAGGAAAACAUUGUGUUGUCUUCUGCUAAGUGGGAAUAGGACAUUUGACUGAAAAGCUUCUUAGCAUGGGCUAAUAUGUGCUCUGUCUACUCAGCUCAGGGAACUCUCUCAUUUUAUUCCCACAGGCUGCUGCUUAAGUUAAUGAUUUCUUUGAUGACAGGUUCUGCAUGAAUUCACUUUAACAUCGUUGCUCUGUUUUCUACUCUUUUUUUCUCCCUAAAAAUGUGAGCUCUAAUUUGAAGCUAAUAAGUUUUGACAUGCAAGCAACCAAAUUACUGGAUAGAGCAAGGAGAAUAUUUUAUUAGUAAUUUUGACCAGAUAGGAUGGUAAGGUCAAUUAAUGAACUAAUGAACCUCAAGUUUCAUUUUUUUCAUAACCCUGCCGGGACUGGAUUUCUUUCUUUCUUUUUUUCUUAAGCUGCCAACAGUUCUUGUCAGGAUUCAAUGUAGAUGCUGCUGCUGGCUGUCCUGGCGGUGGUUUGAUCUCUGUUGUGUGGGCUUCACAAGGGGCUCUGGUUCAGUGAUUCCAGUAAUGGCUACCACUCGGUGACCACGUAGUGUGUGCUGCACACUGGAUGUGACUUCUUUGUCCUUCCCUUCAUUGGUGCUUCUGCUGUCCACUCACUGGUCUUAGAGGUCCUGGCUGUUCUUCCUGAGGAUCGUGAGUUUGUGUCUCUUUUCAGAAGGAGCCCAGUGUGCAACUUCCUGACUGGCAACUCUGCCUUCUUUGUCCUCCUGCUGUUCUCCCUCAUCAAAUUCAUUAGCAGUUCAGCUCUCAGGACUUAGUUUUUUGGGGCAUCUCAUCUCUUAGGCAGUCUUUUCAUGUAAAGACAUUCGGAAGGAGAGCAUCCUCUCUAUUCUCAGAAAUGUUUUGAAACCUGUUUUCUCAGUGUCUUGUGUCUGCCUGCAGCUCCCGACCAGAUCUUCCUACUUGGCCUUUACAAAGACGAGGUUCAUUUUUGUUGACUUGGGUUUGCUUCUGUCUGCCAUUUCAAUGAUAACUGUGUUGAUUUUUAGUGAGUGAAUCGUGUGAAAAUAGCAACGAGAGCCUGGAGAAACAUGGGGUGGAGAAGAGGAGGUUACAAGCAAUACUGGUUUCUUUUGUGACCCUGAGAAAUCUAUCCCAUACUAGAUGGAUUUGCCAUUUGCCUUCUUCUGACAGGAGGGAUAGUUUUUGGUUGUUGUUUGGGGUUGGAGGAGAAGAUUUUAAAGGAAGAGAUACAAACAGCACAUGAUUUAAGAAGAAAACAUUAAGCCUCGUUAAUGAAUCACUUAAUGAAAAGCUGAAGGAAAAGCUGAAGGAAAAGCAAGAUCAUCUGUUGGGAGCAGACAGAAGCCUGAUUAAGUUUUUCAGUUUGCCACUAUGUCCUGCUGAGGCAUAUGAAUAUGAAGUGGUCAUUAUGUCCAGACAGAACACUUCAUCAAAGAAAUAAGUGUUUCUUUUCCAAGUUAAAUUGGUAUAUAUUAUAACCCUCACUCGUACUCAAGGCUUCUACUCCUUGGCCCAGCUCCAAACGAAAGAAGAGUGUUUACUUAUAAAUAAUUCUCUAGUCCAGCCAACGGACCGCUUAGGCCAAUUCUUUAAAAUAGAAUUCUCCUAAUAGCCAAAACAGGUAAAUAUCCAAAUGUUUUUUUUUUUCUUUUAGAAACUACUUUAAGAUUGUGUUAACUGCAGUUAUGAAUUUGCGAAAGGAAAAAUUAUCAUCUUUUUUUAUAUAAAUGUUUUACGUAUGUACUUGGUUGGAUGGGGAAUAUCCCUGAGGGUAUAGUGACCACAGGAAAGCACAACAAAUAAUGAUAUUUAACUAGAAAAUAAAAGCCAUAUUUAGUGUUUA